AAUUUUCUGACAACCAUUUCACAUUGCACUACUAGGUGUACAAACUACUGUUUGAACAAACUGUUUGAAUACCUAAUAGUGCAAUGUGAAAUGGUUGUCAGAAAAUU
rnacentral:pre_miRNA from 1 species